UACGAAGGGUGCAAGCGUUGCUCGGAAUUAUUGGGCGUAAAGGGUAGGUAGGUGGUCUCGUUUGUCCGGGGUGAAAGCCUUGAGCUUAACUCAAGAAGUGCCUCGGAAACGGCGAGACUGGAGUACUGGAGAGGGUCGUGGAAUUCCCGGUGUAGCGGUGAAAUGCGUAGAGAUCGGGAGGAACACCAGAGGCGAAGGCGGCGACCUGGACAGUUACUGACACUCAACUACGAAAGCGUGGGGAGCAAACAGG
rnacentral:rRNA from 1 species